rnacentral:rRNA from 1 species
AUACGUAGGGGGCGAGCGUUGUCCGGAAUGAUUGGGCGUAAAGGGCGCGUAGGCGGCGCGGUAAGUCUGGAGUGAAAGUCCUGCUUUCAAGGUGGGAAUUGCUUUGGAUACUGCCGCGCUUGAGCGCAGGAGAGGUUAUCGGAAUUCCCGGUGUAGCGGUGAAAUGCGUAGAGAUCGGGAGGAACACCAGUGGCGAAGGCGGGUAACUGGACUGCAACUGACGCUGAGGCGCGAAAGUGUGGGGAGCAAACAGGAUUAGAUACCCUGGUAGUCCACGCUGUAAACGAUGAUUACUAGGGUUUGGGGACCAAAGGUCCUCGGUGCCGCCGCAAACGCAUUAAGUAAUCCACCUGGGGAGUACGUUCGCAAGAAUGAAACUCAAAUGAAUUGACGGGG